AAUAUUGGACAAUGGGGGAAACCCUGAUCCAGCCAUCCCGCGUGGAUGAUGAAGGCCUUCGGGUUGUAAAGUACUUUUGGCAGAGACGAAAAGGUAUCGCCUAAUACGAGAUACUGCUGACGGUAUCUGAAGAAUAAGCACCGGCUAACUACGUGCCAGCAGCCCCGGUAAUACGUAGGGUGCAAGCGUUAAUCGGAAUUACUGGGCGUAAAGCGUGUGUAGGCGGUUCGGAAAGAAAGAUCUGAAAUCCCGGGGCUCAACCUUGGAACUGCAUUUUUAACUGCCGAGCUAGGGUAUGUCAGGGGGGGGUAGAAUUCCACGUGUAGCGGUGAAAUGCGUAGAUAUGUGGGGGAAUACCGAUGGCGAAGGCAGCCCCCUGAGAUAAUCCUGACGCUCAGACACGAAAGCGUGGGGAGCAAACA
rnacentral:rRNA from 1 species